rnacentral:rRNA from 1 species
GAAACUGCGAAUGGCUCAUUAAAUCAGUUAUGGUUUAUUUGAUGGUACUUACUACUUGGAUAACCGUAGUAAUUCUAGAGCUAAUACAUGCAGGAAUUCCCGACUUCGGAAGGGAUGUAUUUAUUAGAUAAGAAACCAACCCGGGCUUGCCCGGUUGCGUGCUGAGUCACAAUAACUGUUCGAAUCGCACGGCUUCACGCCGGCGAUGGUUCAUUCAAAUUUCUGCCCUAUCAGCUUUCGAUGGUAGGAAGGCCUACCAUGGCGUUUACGGGUAACGAGAAUUAGGGUUCGAUUCCGGAGAGGGAGCCUGAGAAAUGGCUACCACAUCCAAGGAAGGCAGCAGGCGCGUAAAUUGCCCGAAUCCUGACACAGGGAGGUAGUGACAAGAAAUAACAAUACAGGGCUAUUUUAGUCUUGUAAUUGGAAUGAGUACAAUUUACAUCUCUUCACGAGGAUCAAUUGGAGGGCAAGUCUUGUGCCAGCAGCCCGCGGUAAUUCCAGCUCCAAUAGCGUAUAUUAAAGUUGUUGCAGUUAAAACGCUCGUAGUCGGAUUUCGGGGCGAUCCCGCCGGUCUGCCGUUGGGUAUGCACUGGUGGGCGCGUCCUUCCUUCCGGAGACCGUUCCUACUCUUAGCUGAGCGGGGACGGGAGACGGAUCGUUUACUUUGAAAAAAUCAGAGUGUUUCAAGCAGGCAUUUGCUCUUGCAUGGAUUAGCAUGGGAUAAUGAAAUAGGACUUUGGUGCUAUUUUGUUGGUUUCGAACACCGAAGUAAUGAUUAACAGGGACAGUCAGGGGCACUCGUAUUCCGCCGAGAGAGGUGAAAUUCUCAGACCAGCGGAAGACGAACCACUGCGAAAGCAUUUGCCAGGGAUGUUUUCACUGAUCAAGAACGAAAGUUAGGGGAUCGAAGACGAUCAGAUACCGUCGUA